CGGACGGGUGAGUAACGCGUGAGAAUCUGCCCUUAGGAGGGGGACAACAGUUGGAAACGACUGCUAAUACCCCAUAUGCCGAGAGGUGAAACAUUAAUGGCCUGAAGAGGAGCUCGCGUCUGAUUAGCUAGUUGGUGGGGUAACGGCCUACCAAGGCGACGAUCAGUAGCUGGUCUGAGAGGAUGAUCAGCCACACUGGGACUGAGACACGGCCCAGACUCCUACGGGAGGCAGCAGUGGGGAAUUUUCCGCAAUGGGCGAAAGCCUGACGGAGCAAGACCGCGUGAGGGAUGAAGGUCUUUGGAUUGUAAACCUCUUUUCUCAGGGAAGAAGAACUGACGGUACCUGAGGAAUCAGCAUCGGCUAACUCCGUGCCAGCAGCCGCGGUAAUACGGAGGAUGCAAGCGUUAUCCGGAAUUAUUGGGCGUAAAGCGUCCGUAGGUGGCUAAGCAAGUCUGCUGUUAAAGAGCGGAGCUAAACUCCGUAAAGGCGGUGGAAACUGCAUAGCUAGAGUGUGGUAGGGGUAGAGGGAAUUCCCAGUGUAGCGGUGAAAUGCGUAGAUAUUGGGAAGAACACCGGUGGCGAAGGCGCUCUACUGGGCCACAACUGACACUGAUGGACGAAAGCUAGGGGAGCGAAAGGGAUUAGAUACCCCUGUAGUC
rnacentral:rRNA from 1 species